CAAAUUUCUUCUUUAUUUUCUCGUUCAAAAUUGGUUCUUUGGUUCUACUUCUCUUCUAUUUUAUUUAAUUCUUCCAUUUUCUUUAAGGUUAAGCUAUUUUUGGUUCCCCAUUUCCUCUUUAAUUCUUUCACUGCAAAAAAAAGGAAUAGGUCCUAAUGGCAAUGGGAAAGAACCUGUUGAAUAGGAAAAGCUCUAAGUGAAGAUUUCUGGUUUGAUGUUGUCGUAGCAGGGAACCAAUCAUAUUAACGGCCUAUUGUGAGCCAUCUCUUGCUUUGCUGUAACAUUUAUUUGUUGUGGCAUUAGGCUAUGUUAGUCACCGCCGGAUGAAUUUUAAUAAUUGUAACUAAAAAUGAUAUUUUGUAACUAUGGAUGCUUAUUUGUAGCCUUAUUGGCAUAAUAUCAUCUUGGUUUUACGUGAUAACAGAUGAAAAUUGAAUUUUUAAAUUGCUAUUCGAGCGAUA